UACGGAGGAUGCAAGCGUUAUCCGGAAUCAUUGGGCGUAAAGCGUCCGUAGGUGGUUAGUCAAGUCUGCUGUCAAAGCGCGUAGCUUAACUACGUAAAGGCAGUGGAAACUGAAAAACUAGAGUGCGGUAGGGGUAGAGGGAAUUCCCGGUGUAGCGGUGAAAUGCGUAGAGAUCGGGAAGAACACCAGUGGCGAAAGCGCUCUACUGGGCCGUAACUGACACUGAGGGACGAAAGCUAGGGGAGCGAAAGGG
rnacentral:rRNA from 1 species